rnacentral:rRNA from 2 species
AUGGGCGCAAGCCUGAUGCAGCCAUGCCGCGUGUAUGAAGAAGGCCUUCGGGUUGUAAAGUACUUUCAGCAGUGAGGAAGGCAGGUACGUUAAUAGCGUGCUUGUUUGACGUUAGCUGCAGAAGAAGCACCGGCUAACUCCGUGCCAGCAGCCGCGGUAAUACGGAGGGUGCGAGCGUUAAUCGGAAUUACUGGGCGUAAAGCGCAUGCAGGUGGUUUGUUAAGUCAGAUGUGAAAGCCCGGGGCUCAACCUCGGAAUUGCAUUUGAAACUGGCAGACUAGAGUACUGUAGAGGGGGGUAGAAUUUCAGGUGUAGCGGUGAAAUGCGUAGAGAUCUGAAGGAAUACCGGUGGCGAAGGCGGCCCCCUGGACAGAUACUGACACUCAGAUGCGAAAGCGUGGGGAGCAAACAGGAUUAGAUACCCUGGUAGUCCACGCCGUAAACGAUGUCUACUUGGUGGUUGUGGCCUUGAGCCGUGGCUUUCGGAGCUAACGCGUUAAGUAGACCGCCUGGG